rnacentral:hammerhead_ribozyme from 1 species
AUCUAUCUGAAGAGUCCUAAGUGAGACGAAACGCGCGUCCUGCAU